AUAUUUAUGAAUACCGACUAGCAUAAACUAACUUAUUGCCUAAGCACAAAGCAGGUUCAAAAACAUCACAUUCAUAUUAGGUGUACUUCGUCUACUUGAGCCUACGUUUAUUUAUUAUAAUUUUGUACCAAUUUUCACUUAGAUAAGACUAAAACUACCAUAAUUUUAUCUUUGAUAGAUUAACUAUAACAAUUUUAACAUGUCUAGCUAUUAUGCUUAUCAACUCAUAAAAUAUUUUGUAUGCAACAUCAAAAUAAUUUAAUAUUUUAUGUUCGCAAGUUUAAUAUUGAUAUUUAAUGUGUUUUUAAGAGCAUUCUAAAAGAGAUAUAUAGAGAAAUUGAUGUUUUUCUAGCUCAAAAAUGUAAACUUGAAUCGUGAAAUGUGAAGAAAAUCAUACAUUGACAGCCUAUCAUUUGCAUUUGAGCAUGUUCCUACUGCUGGCAGCAAAUAAUAGGAUAAUAAUAUAUAUAUUUUAAAAUAUUGAAUGCUGGGAUUAUAAUAUUAAUCAUACUUUUAUUAUUACAGAUUGAAUCCACAAAAUAAUUGAAGAAAUGGUUUCAGAUGAUUACGAACAAGCGCAGCUAUCUUUGGAGAGGUAAUGCACCUACUGAUAUCCCGUGAUAAGAACUUGGGAGAGAUUUAGUGAAAACCUGGAGAACGGCCACUUAGCUCACAAAUCUGAGCUGUUCACAUCAAGCUGAUAUUUGUGACAGCCAUUAUAGCUUUAAUCAUUUUCUCGAUUGAUCAAAGCACCACAGACUGCAUCGUUCGUCACCUCUGCCUUUAAGCGCGUUAUCACCUACUCCAAUAAGCCACCCCAAUAUCCUUAAUAAGCAAUAGAAGUUCUUAUCGACUGUGUAUGACUCAUUAAUAUCCAUGUUCUGUAUAAAUUUAUGUGAUAGGCCUACUGGUAUUAAUGUUGAUGUACCGUAAUGUUUUUUGCUCAUGUAUAAUUGAUAAUAAUACAUUAAAAAUAAAUAUAAUGUUAAAUUAUUA